UGGCGUGGGAUCCCUUAAGAAUUGUGAUGAUUGCACAAUAUUUUGACAGCCUGAGUUACCCACCUAUCUUCACUCCUCUCUGGUCUUCCCAAACUGGUUACAUCUUGGAGUCCCAGGGAUGUUGGUGGAGCAGGAAAUGAAGGACUUCAUUGUUUCGUGGCAAGGAUCCUGUCUUCAUUAUGCAGGUGUCUAUUUCUGAAAGUGAAGAGGAUUGCCACAGAUGUGAAUAAGCAUGCUAACUGGGGAGAAUGGAUGAAGCAAUGUGGUGGAAUAAAAUUCCU